GACGAACGCUGGCGGCGUGCCUAAUACAUGCAAGUCGAGCGCAGGAAGCUCACGGAACUCUUCGGAGGGAAGUGAAGGGAAUGAGCGGCGGACGGGUGAGUAACACGUAAGGAACCUGCCCCAAGGAUUGGGAUAACUCCGAGAAAUCGGAGCUAAUACCGAAUAGUUCUUCAGACCGCAUGGUCUGAUGAUGAAAGGCGCUCCGGCGUCACCUUGGGAUGGCCUUGCGGUGCAUUAGCUAGUUGGUGGGGUAAUGGCCCACCAAGGCGACGAGGCAUAGCCGACCUGAGAGGGUGAUCGGCCACACUGGGACUGAGACACGGCCCAGACUCCUACGGGAGGCAGCAGUAGGGAAUCUUCCACAAUGGACGAAAGUCUGAUGGAGCAACGCCGCGUGAGUGAUGAAGGUUUUCGGAUCGUAAAGCUCUGUUGUAAGGGAAGAACAGGUAUGAGAGGUAAUGCUCAUGCUAUGACGGUACCUUACGAGAAAGCCACGGCUAACUACGUGCCAGCCGCCGCAGUAAUAC
rnacentral:rRNA from 1 species